rnacentral:rRNA from 1 species
UACGUAGGGGGCGAGCGUUGUCCGGAUUUACUGGGUGUAAAGGGUGCUCAGGCGGGUCUGUAAGUCAGGGGUGAAAUCCCAGAGCUUAACUCUGGAACUGCCUUUGAUACUGCAGAUCUCGAGUUUGGGAGAGGCGAGUGGAAUAUCUGGUGUAGCAGUGAAAUGCGUAGAGAUCAGAGAGAACACCAAUGGCGAAGGCAGCUCGCUGGCCCAAUACUGACGCUAAAGCACGAAAGAGUGGGGAGCAAACAGG